rnacentral:rRNA from 1 species
CCUACGGGUGGCAGCAGUGGGGAAUAUUGGACAAUGGGCGAAAGCCUGAUCCAGCCAUGCCGCGUGUGUGAAGAAGGCCUUCGGGUUGUAAAGCACUUUCAGUGGGGAAGAAAGCCUUGGGGCUAAUACCCUCGAGGAAGGACAUCACCCACAGAAGAAGCACCGGCUAACUCCGUGCCAGCAGCCGCGGUAAUACGGAGGGUGCGAGCGUUAAUCGGAAUUACUGGGCGUAAAGCGCGCGUAGGCGGUCUGAUAAGCCGGUUGUGAAAGCCCCGGGCUCAACCUGGGAACGGCAUCCGGAACUGUCAGGCUAGAGUGCAGGAGAGGAAGGUAGAAUUCCCGGUGUAGCGGUGAAAUGCGUAGAGAUCGGGAGGAAUACCAGUGGCGAAGGCGGCCUUCUGGACUGACACUGACGCUGGGGUGCGAAAGCGUGGGUAGCAAACAGGAUUAGAUACCCUUGUAG